rnacentral:rRNA from 1 species
UAAGCCGUUGAAGGUGAAUCGUAAGGUUUGCUGGAGGUAUCAGAAGUGCGAAUGCUGACAUGAGUAACGACAAAGGGGGUGAAAAACCUCCUCGCCGGAAGACCAAGGGUUCCUGUCCAACGUUAAUCGGGGCAGGGUGAGUCGACCCCUAAGGUGAGGCCGAAAGGCGUAAUCGAUGGGAAACGGGUUAAUAUUCCCGUACUUCUGACUAUUGCGAUGGGGGGACGGAGAAGGCUAGGUGGGCCAGGCGACGGUUGUCCUGGUUCAAGUGCGUAGGCUUGAGAGUUAGGUAAAUCCGGCUCUCUCUAAGGCUGAGACACGACGUCGAGCUGCUACGGCAGUGAAGUCAUUGAUGCCAUGCUUCCAGGAAAAGCCUCUAAGCUUCAGAUAGUCAGGAAUCGUACCCCAAACCGACACAGGUGGUCGGGUAGAGAAUACCAAGGCGCUUGAGAGAACUCGGGUGAAGGAACUAGGCAAAAUGGUACCGUAACUUCGGGAGAAGGUACGCUCUUGAUGGUGAAGUCCCUCGCGGAUGGAGCUGACGAGAGUCGCAGAUACCAGGUGGCUGCAACUGUUUAUUAAAAACACAGCACUGUGCAAAAUCGCAAGAUGACGUAUACGGUGUGACGCCUGCCCGGUGCCGGAAGGUUAAUUGAUGGGGUUAGCGCAAGCGAAGCUCUUGAUCGAAGCCCCGGUAAACGGCGGCCGUAACUAUAACGGUCCUAAGGUAGCGAAAUUCCUUGUCGGGUAAGUUCCGACCUGCACGAAUGGCGUAAUGAUGGCCACGCUGUCUCCACCCGAGACUCAGUGAAAUUGAAAUCGCUGUGAAGAUGCAGUGUACCCGCGGCUAGACGGAAAGACCCCGUGAACCUUUACUACAGCUUGGCACUGAACAUUGAACCUACAUGUGUAGGAUAGGUGGGAGGCUAUGAAGACGUGACGCCAGUUGCGUUGGAGCCGUCCUUGAAAUACCACCCUUGUAUGUUUGAUGUUCUAACUUAGACCCAUUAUCUGGGUUGAGGACAGUGCCUGGUGGGUAGUUUGACUGGGGCGGUCUCCUCCCAAAGAGUAACGGAGGAGCACGAAGGUGGGCUAAUCACGGUUGGACAUCGUGAGGUUAGUGCAAUGGCAUAAGCCCGCUUAACUGCGAGAAUGACGGUUCGAGCAGGUGCGAAAGCAGGUCAUAGUGAUCCGGUGGUUCUGUAUGGAAGGGCCAUCGCUCAACGGAUAAAAGGUACUCCGGGGAUAACAGGCUGAUACCGCCCAAGAGUUCAUAUCGACGGCGGUGUUUGGCACCUCGAUGUCGGCUCAUCACAUCCUGGGGCUGAAGUCGGUCCCAAGGGUAUGGCUGUUCGCCAUUUAAAGUGGUACGCGAGCUGGGUUUAGAACGUCGUGAGACAGUUCGGUCCCUAUCUGCCGUGGGCGUUGGAAGAUUGAAGGGGGCUGCUCCUAGUACGAGAGGACCGGAGUGGACGAACCUCUGGUGUUCGGGUUGUGUCGCCAGACGCAUUGCCCGGUAGCUAAGUUCGGAAUUGAUAAGCGCUGAAAGCAUCUAAGCGCGAAGCGAGC